ACACGACUCUCGGCAACGGAUAUCUUGGCUCUCGCAUCGAUGAAGAACGUAGCAAACUGCGAUACUUGGUGUGAAUUGCAGAAUCCCGUGAACCAUCGAGUCUUUGAACGCAAGUUGCGCCCGAAACCAUUAGGCCGAGGGCACGUCUGCCUGGGCGUCACGCA
rnacentral:rRNA from 1 species